rnacentral:rRNA from 1 species
AUACGGAGGAUGCGAGCGUUAUCCGGAUUUAUUGGGUUUAAAGGGUGCGUAGGCUGUGCGUUAAGUCAGGGGUGAAAUGCCGUCGCUCAACGACGGAGCUGCCCUUGAUACUGGCGUGCUGGAGUACGGAUGCCGUUGGAGGAAUGAGUGGUGUAGCGGUGAAAUGCUUAGAUAUCACUCAGAACACCGAUUGCGAAGGCAUCUGACGAAUCCGUCACUGACGCUGAGGCACGAAAGCGUGGGGAUAGAACAGGAUUAGAUACCCUGGUAUUCCACGCCGUAAACGAUGAUGACUAACCGUCGGCGAUAGACAGCCGGUGGCCAAGCGAAAGCGAGAAGUCAUCCACCUGGGGAGUACGUCGGCAACGAUGAAACUCAAAGGAAUUGACGGGG